rnacentral:rRNA from 1 species
GAUGAACGCUGGCGGCGUGCUUAACACAUGCGAGUCGAACGAUGAAGCCCAGCUUGCUGGGUGGAUUAGUGGCGAACGGGUGAGUAACACGUGAGUAACCUGCCCUUAACUCUGGGAUAAGCCUGGGAAACUGGGUCUAAUACCGGAUAGGAGCGUCCACCGCAUGGUGGGUGUUGGAAAGAUUUAUCGGUUUUGGAUGGACUCGCGGCCUAUCAGCUUGUUGGUGAGGUAAUGGCUCACCAAGGCGACGACGGGUAGCCGGCCUGAGAGGGGGACCGGCCCAACGGGGACUGGGAAACGGCCAGACCCCCUCGGGGGGGAAGCGGGGGGGAAUAUUGCACAAGGGGCGCAAGCCUUAUGCAGCGACGCCGGGGGGGGGAUGACGGCCUUCGGGUUGUAAACCUCUUUCAGUAGGGAAGAAGGGAAAGUGAGGGUACCUGCAGAAGAAGCACCGGCCAAAUACGU